AGUAGAAUAACUGGGUCAAAUGGUGGUUCCAUUCCAAGUUUUUUGAGGAAUCUCCAUACUCCUUUCCUGAAUGGUUGUACCAAUUUGCAGUCCCAUCAGCAGU
rnacentral:pre_miRNA from 1 species